rnacentral:lncRNA from 1 species
CCUACAUUUGUAUGUAAGGCACAGUAAAGGAAAAAAGACAUCCCUUGCCUUUCAGACAAUUUGGGCUUGAGCAGGUGUAGCAUGCCAAGUAAGAAUAAUAGCAAAACAACAAAGAAGGAAAGAGGAAAGACCGCAAGAGGAAUGGGAGCACAAGGAUCAUAUCAUUGCAUGAGGAGGAUCUCAGCAGAACAACUACUGCUGGUGAGAGCCCAGACAGGAGCCUGGGACACCUCUGCUGAAGCCACUGUCUCCGUGCCCCAUUUACCUCUCUGUCUGGUGCUCAUCCCCUAGCUGUGAAUGCACACAGGGACCUUGACUGACAAAUCUAAAUUAAAG